rnacentral:rRNA from 1 species
UUUGCCUACGGGACGCAGCAGUGGGGAAUAUUGCACAAUGGGGGAAACCCUGAUGCAGCGACGCCGCGUGAGUGAAGAAGUAUUUCGGUAUGUAAAGCUCUAUCAGCAGGGAAGAAAUAGCGACCUUUGGGUCGCCAGACGGUACCUGAUUAAGAAGCCUCGGCUAACUACGUGCCAGCAGCCGCGGUAAUACGUAGGGGGCACGCGUUAUCCGGAUUUACUGGGUGUAAAGGGAGCGUAGACGCCAGCGCAAGUCUGAAGUGAAAUGCCGGGGCUUAACCCCGGAACUUCUUUGGUAA